AUCUAUGGCCAUACCACCCUGAAUGUGCCUGAUCUUGUCUGAUCUCAGAAGCUAAGCAGAGUCAGGUCUAGUUAGUACUUGAAUGGUAAAAUGACUCCACCUCCUUGUGUU
ensembl:rRNA 5S_rRNA 5S ribosomal RNA